UCCCUCUUCUUCCUCAUCGCGCUGUCUUCGGGCGGUUCCCCUCGCGCUGCGGCGCCGCCUCACAGCCGUCGCCACCGCCGUUGUCAUCGUCGUCCCAGUCCCCGCCGCCACCGUCGCAACCUCCCGGCAGCACGCACCGCUCCUCCGCUGCUUCGUCACCGAUCCCUCAAAACGCCGUUCACCAGAGAAAGGAUGGCGGUCCUGGCGGAGAUCGCCGGCGACGAGUCCCCGCCGCCGCUUCCUCCUUCCGAAGGCGGCGAAGCUUCCGGAGCCCCGUCCACGUCCUCUACCUCCGACGCCGACGGCGGCGGCAAGCCUUCGCCCCGCACGUCGAAGCCAACCGAGGGCGAGUCCACCACUCGCCGCUGCCGUCCGACGCAAUCGCCGUCGACCUCUGGAGCACCGGCUGCAUCCUCGCCAAGCUUCUCGCCGGCAAGCCCAUCUUGCCCGGCCAAACUGAGGUAAAUAAAUAAAUAAAUAUUAUAACCUCAACUCUCCAUCUAUAUAUCGUCUAUGCAUGGAUGAAAUGGAUCGGCAUCGAUCUGAUUCGCCAUUGCUGAUCGACGCAGAUCGAGCAGCUGCACAAGAUCUUCAAGCUGUGCGGGACUUCUCGUUGAGUCUAUCAAACUGUGCAUGCAUAUAGCUUAGAUAGCUGAUUAGUUAGAGCUAGUCAAUAUAUGCAUAUGUUGCAUGAGUUGUGUGGCAGUUAGCUUCGUGCUAGUGGCUGUUAGCGAUAAUCCACCGAUCGAACACCUUGCGUGCGUACUGCAGCAAUCCGGCACGGCAACAGACGAGAUCCAGAGCAAUGCAGAGCAGAACAAGAACAGAGGAAAUUGAGAAGUUUCAGAGAACAAUAUCAGAAAGGAAAUUUGUGGGGCUAAUUUUCUGUGGUUUUCAUUCACCGAACAGAGUGGCAUACAUCUCGAAUAACAGUACAAAAACUCCUACUUAUACUCCACACAAAAGAAAGAAUCCGAGGCUCAAAUCGUGCCAUCCCACGAUCCGGUUUUCUCUGAAUUCGACGACUCACGCAACCGCGCUAAACUCACGCACACGAACGCUACCGACGCGGUCUUCUUCUGACUCGAUCACCGCUUCAUUCGCAUCGGCCAACAAACGCAGACUUAUUCCUUCAACCGUUGCAACUGCAAUCACCAGGAACACGUUCAUGCGGCUCAAGUUUGUUUGCUGGGCUAUAAAAGCCAUGUAAUCUACCGAACCCUAGGCAACCGAAGAGGUGAAAAUAAGGCCGAAAAAAAAAUUGCAGGUCUCCUCCUCCUACCUCCGGCGAGCCCUCCGCCGUCCACGCUUCCCCGCCCACUGGCGGCUCUCCUCGGCCCCCGCGCAGCGGAGGAGGCGAUGCCACCUCCGCGGCCGUUGGGGGAGGCGCUGGCCGCGGCGCGGCGCGCCUUCUGCCUUCCACUCGCGGGGACCGCGAACGCUGCCGUGUCCGCCCCCGCCGUCCACGUCUCCCUGGCGCUCGCCGCCGCGGGCGCGCGGGGCGCCACGCGGAGGCAGCUGGCGGCGGCGGCGGCGGCGACGCGGCCAGCGUGGCGUCCCGCUUCGUGAAGCACGUCCUCAAGAACCGGUCCAACUCCGGUGGCCCGCGGCUGGAGUUUGCGAGCGGCUUCUGGGCCGACGCAUCGAGGAGUCUUUCGCCGGAGUUCAUGGGACUCGCCGGCUAUAUGUACGGCUCUGAGGCGGAGAAGGCCGAUUUCAAGAACAAGCCCAUAGAUCGGCGACGCACCAUGGAGGAGGACGACGACACCGUGGCGGUUGAUGGCGGUGGCCGGCGAGCGGUGGCCGGCAGCGCUUGAGACGAAGGCACUGCUUCAGGCCUCGCUGCCGCAGCAUCUGCUUCAGAUCGAUGCUGAAGAGACGUCUGGCCUAUGGCAAACGAGAUGGACGUCGUGGGGACGUCUGACUUCGAUUGGGUUGAGCACUCAUCUUGGCGUGCUCUAUUCUCCCUUGCAUGGCGGUGAUCCUGUUUGUGAUGGUCAAUCGAUUUGGUAACAUCGGCAAGAAACUGUGAUUUGUUUCAUCACCUCUGUCGUUGCCUAGUUUAUGACAGUGAGGCGAUGAAAACAGCAACGGCGACCUCCAUCUUUGGCUCCGUCGCCGGAUUCGGGUCCUACCGAGGUCGCAGCGGCCAGACUUGGUGCUACCUCGGCUCCAACAUGCAUCUCCGCCGCUUUAUCUUCUUGCUCUCUCUAGCAGAACAGAAGCUCCAUUCAGCCAUCACGAGGAACUGGCGAUGGCGUGUAUUGAUGUGUUUGUGUGUAAAAUUUUUAUUCUUGUGCUUUUACUAUGAUGUGCAUGUAAAAUCUUUAUUUUUUGUCCCGUGAUUUAGGAUGGAGUGAUUCAAUGUAUAAGUAAAAAUAUUAUUCACGUAUUAUUUUGGGUAAA